rnacentral:rRNA from 1 species
AUUGAACGCUGGCGGCAUGCUUUACACAUGCAAGUCGAACGGCAGCGCGGGCUUCGGCCUGGCGGCGAGUGGCGAACGGGUGAGUAAUGCAUCGGAACGUGCCCAGUAGUGGGGGAUAGCCCGGCGAAAGCCGGAUUAAUACCGCAUACGACCUGAGGGUGAAAGCGGGGGACCGAAAGGCCUCGCGCUAUUGGAGCGGCCGAUGUCGGAUUAGCUAGUUGGUGGGGUAAAGGCUUACCAAGGCGACGAUCCGUAGCUGGUCUGAGAGGACGACCAGCCACACGGGGAUUGGGCCCCGGCCCAGCCCCCUAGGGGAGGCAGCAGGGGGGAAUUUUGGAAAAGGGGGGCAACCCUGAUCCAGCCAUGCCGGGGGGGGGAAGAAGGCCUUCGGGUUGUAAACCGCUUUUGUUCGGGAAGAAAUCCUCUGGGCUAAAACCCCGGGGGGAUGACGGUACCGGAAGAAUAAGCACCGGCUAACUACGU